GACGAACGCUGGCGGCGUGCUUAACACAUGCAAGUCGAACGAAGUGGCGAACGGGUGAGUAACGCGUAAUCAACCUGCCCUUCAGAGGGGGACAACAGUUGGAAACGACUGCUAAUACCGCAUACUGAAGGAGGGGAUUGCGUCUGAUUAGCUAGUUGGAGGGGUAACGGCCCACCAAGGCGAUGAUCAGUAGCCGGUCUGCGAGGAUGAACGACCUCAUUGGGACUGAGACACGGCCCAGACUCCUACAUAAGACACCAUUGUAAAAUCUUCCGCAAUGGACGAAAGUCUGACGCAGCAACGCCGCGUGAGUGAUGACGGCCUUCGGGUUUUAAAUCUCUGUUAAUCGGGACGUGGUACCGGAAUAGAAAGCCACGGCUAACUACGUGCCAGCAGCCGCGGUAAUUC
rnacentral:rRNA from 1 species